CGUACGAUUACGAGUUUGAUCAUGGCUCAGAAUCAACGCUGGCGGCGUGCCUCAGACAUGCAAGUCGAACGAUUAAAGCUCUCUUCGGAGAGUGUAUAGAGUGGCGCACGGGUGAGUAACACGUAAGUAAUCUACCCUCGAGUGGGGAAUAACAACCGGAAACGGUUGCUAAUACCGCAUAAUGCAGCGGCACCGCAAGGUGACAGUUGUUAAAGAUUUAUCGCUUGAGGAGGAGCUUGCGGCAGAUUAGCUAGUUGGUAGGGUAACGGCUUACCAAGGCUACGAUCUGUAACCGGUCUAAGAGGACGGUCGGUCACACUGACACUGAAUAACGGGUCAGACUCCUACGGGAGGCAGCAGUCGGGAAUUUUGGGCAAUGGGCGAAAGCCUGACCCAGCAACGCCGCGUGAAGGAUGAAGUAUUUCGGUAUGUAAACUUCGAAAGAAUAGGAAGAAUUAAUGACGGUACUAUUUAUAAGGUCCGGCUAACUACGUG
rnacentral:rRNA from 1 species